rnacentral:rRNA from 1 species
GAUGAACGCUGGCGGCGUGCCUAAUACAUGCAAGUCGAGCGAACAGACGAGGAGCUUGCUCCUCUGACGUUAGCGGCGGACGGGUGAGUAACACGUGGAUAACCUACCUAUAAGACUGGGAUAACUUCGGGAAACCGGAGCUAAUACCGGAUAAUAUAUUGAACCGCAUGGUUCAAUAGUGAAAGACGGUUUUGCUGUCACUUAUAGAUGGAUCCGCGCCGCAUUAGCUAGUUGGUAAGGUAACGGCUUACCAAGGCGACGAUGCGUAGCCGACCUGAGAGGGUGAUCGGCCACACUGGAACUGAGACACGGUCCAGACUCCUACGGGAGGCAGCAGUAGGGAAUCUUCCGCAAUGGGCGAAAGCCUGACAGAGCAACGCCGCGUGAGUGAUGAAGGUCUUCGGAUCGUAAAACUCUGUUAUUAGGGAAGAACAAAUGUGUAAGUAACUAUGCACGUCUUGACGGUACCUAAUCAGAAAGCCACGGCUAACUACGUG